UCAAUUUUUUUGGAUUGACGGCUCUACCCAGCACCCUUUCACCGUCUGUCACGGCCGCCUUCUUCCCCAAUGACAACAAGCAUCCCCUCCCACCAUCGGGCACUGGAUGCCGUGUCAUCGAAUAUCCGAACAGGUCAUGAUGGUCAGCAAGCAGAAAAGCCAAGUAAUCAUCGACUUCUGUAUCAGGAUGGCUCGCGAAUGCGAAGAACGUCUUGAUGCAAGUGGAUCUUCAGACGAUGACUAGGCUUCUUCUUCGCCUACAAAACGUUCUAUGCAAAGCUUCAUCUUCGGCGAAGAUUCUUUGGUGGAGUAGUUUGAUGGAGGUGUCAUCAAUUCAUCCGUUCCGCCUAUAGUAAGUCUAAGAAAUUGCAGAUCCGUUACGGUGAUCAAGUAAUCGAAGAAAUUGCAGAUCUGAACAAGUCCAAGACAUCGUCAUCUCCAUCCUUCGCCAUUCCCGCUCCAGUUCUUUUUUCUUUUUUUAAUAUUUCUAGUUUCACAUUUACAUUGCUAUUUGGAUUUGAAUAUCUAUUGCAAAUUAUUUGCUAAUGCUCUUGUUGAUUUUGCUGAAGUUUGCUACAGUGGUGGAUGAUAUGCAAGAACCGGAAGCAGUCGUGGGGACUGGGGAGGGAGGGAGAGAGAGUUUCUCUCAUGCCUUGAAAGAGAACAUGAUACAAAAUGAUUUGAUCGUGUAUGUGAUUCAUAUCUUAUAGUUACAUCUCCUUUUCUCCUUUUCCCCACUCUCUUUGAAUAAAUCAAAUGUAUUCAUCUUUGUGGCAGAUGAAUGUAUGCAUGUUCCCUGAAUAGGAUGGUGUAGCUGCUUGUUGAAAUUUUUCAUGCAAGACAUCAAUUGAACAGUUUUUCUUUUUUAAAUGGAGAAACAAAAAUCCUCUCUAUACUCUGAUAUGAAGGUUUUGGAAGCUUGACCAUGGUUACUAUUCCAAUAUACAUAUAUAGAUGUAUGUAUCAUUCCCUGGAAUUGUUUAAAAAGGAAAAAAUAAACCUGUUGUUUAUUUCUUCUGGUGCUAGUAGUCAUCCUCUUCAUCUCUUGACCUAAAGAAUCUCCUCACAACUGCAGCAGCAGCACCAAGGACCAAAAACAGCACUAUAGUAUCAAACCCACCUCCAAUGCCAACAGCUACACUGGGACCUGGUGCGAAGAAUGAAAAUGGAGACCACCCCCACCCACCAUAGAAUGGCACGCCGUAACCAUAGCCGUAGCCACCAACCAAAGGAGGCGCCACUGGGGGAUUCACAUAGAUAUUGGUCCUGCCAGUACAAGUUUUCUUCAGAAUCAAGGUUAUCCGCAGAUAUUUUUGUAAGCAAAAAGCUUCUCAUUCCCAUAUAUGUAACUUAAUAUGGAACUACCAGAAAGAAAUAAGUCUCAUCCAAAAAUCACACUUAUAACUGACUUUGUCUUCAAAUAAUGCUCCACGGAAUAAAUAAAAUGAGCCAUAAGCCAACAUGGAACUAAA